rnacentral:rRNA from 1 species
GGGAACGACCAUACCAUCAUGACAGCACCGCUUUCCGUCCGCUCAGCCAAAUUAAGCACGUUCGGGCCUGGUUAGUACUACGGUGGGGGACCACGUUGGAAUCACAGGUGUUGUUCUCU